UUUUUUUUUUUUUAACCACCUUUAUAGGGUAUGGCUUGAGGAGCGAGAAUGCCGGGCCGAGUUGGCCAAGGCAUUGUUACUCACUGGUCAAAAAUCCGCGUACAAUUCUUGUCGUCCACAAGAUCACCUCUCUUUGUGCAUCCGAUAUGAGUCUCUCUUCCAAUCCAAGAUGGUGAGUAUUUUCAACUAAAUGUUCCUCAACCAGUCCAUUCGUGCUGAUGAUAAGGGGAAGUAUCGUAGUGCUGUGUAAGCUCUUUCGAUGUUGUCAUCCGCUGGAAUGGUGAUGUCGAUGAUUAUCACCUUCCUGUUCGCUUUGUCGAAUAUGACAAUGUCGGGUCGAUUGUGUGGAACAGGCCUGUCCGUGUCCGGCUUGGAUGGCAAUGGCCUGGUGGUAUAUCUUGGCCAUAGCGUUGUGGCGAUCUGUGUACUCUCUGGGAGCCAUUACCGAACAGGACGAGGUGAUGUGCUGAAUGGUUUCAAGCGACUGAGCACACUUGCGGCAUCUAUCAUUAGGUAUGUUUUUCCCUAUUAUAUUUUUCAGGUACGCUCUUGUGGGGACCACCUGAUCUUGGAUGGCCGCCAACCUGCCCUCCGUCUCGGCAAAUAGAUAUCCAGAUUUGAGGUAGGAGACUGAUUUUUCUUUAUUGACUGU